rnacentral:siRNA from 1 species
AGAGCCAUGUCAGAAACAGUUUCA